CGCGUGGGUAACCUGCCUCAUACAGGGGGAUAACAGUUGGAAACGACUGCUAAUACCGCAUAAGCGCACAGGAUCGCAUGAUCCGGUGUGAAAACUCCGGUGGUAUGAGAUGGACCCGCGUCUGAUUAGCCAGUUUGGCAGGGUAACGGCCUACCAAAGCGACGAUCAGUAGCCGACCUGAGAGGGUGACCGGCCACAUUGGGACUGAGACACGGCCCAA
rnacentral:rRNA from 1 species